rnacentral:rRNA from 1 species
CUACGGGGGGCUGCAGGUAAGAAUAUUCUACAAUGCGCGCAAGCGUGAUAGAUUGAGUCAGAGUGCUUUUCUAUUUGAAAAGCUUUUGCCAAAUGUAAAAAGUUUGGCGAAUAAGGACUGGGUAAGACGAGUGCCAGCCGCCGCGGUAAUACUCGCGGUCCAAGUCGCAGCCAUUUUUAUUGGGUCUAAAACAUCCGUAGCUUGUUUGAUAAGUUUUUUGUGAAAUUUUAUGUCUUGAGCAUGAAGCGAGCAAAAAAUACUAUCAGGCUAGAGACUGGAAGACGUAAGAAGUACAAUUUAGGUAGUGGUAGAAUAUUUUAAUCUUAAUUGGACUAACAAUAGCGAAGGCAUCUUACGAGGACAGUUCUGACAGUAAGGGAUGAAGGCUAGGGGCGCAAAACGGAUUAGAUACCCUAGUAGUC